GAAGGAUCAUUACCGAGUAUCGGGGCCCUCUGGGUUCCUACUCCCACCCUAUGUGUACCAAUCUCAGUUGCUUUGGCGGGUCGUCGGUUUCGACUACCGUUGGCCUUUUAGGCUGGCGAGUACCCGCCGGAGGACCCUUAGAACUCGUUUUAACGGUGGCUCUGAGUGAAUCUUUGAAUAGAAAAAAAACUUUCAACAACGGAUCUCUUGGUUCUGGCAUCGAUGAAGAACGCAGCGAAAUGCGAUAGCUAGUGUGAAUUGCAGAUUUCAGUGAAUCAUCGAGUCUUUGAACGCACAUUGCGCCUCUUGGUAUUCCUCGAGGCAUGCCUAUUCGAGCGUCGUUUCGUCCCUCAAGCGCGAGCUUGGUGUUGGGGACCGCCCCUGAGAUAUGGCGGCGGCCCUUGAAUCCAUCGGCGGUGCCGGUGCGGCCCUGAGCGCAGCAGCGAUGCAGCUCUGAAGGCGGCGCCUGCCCAGCCGGACGACCCCACGAAACUUUCUGAACGUCGACCUCGAAUUAGGUAGGGAUACCCGCUGAACUUAA
rnacentral:rRNA from 2 species